UUAUUCUUAUUAUUCUUAUUUUUCUUAUCAUUCUUAUCAUUCUUAUCAUUCUUAUCAUUCUUA
rnacentral:ribozyme from 1 species